UUAACUGAAACCAAAAUAGAGGUAUAUCAUUGUUAAUGAUAUUAUUGAAUAAGAAAUUCCAGUUAAG
rnacentral:tRNA from 1 species